UACGUAGGGUGCAAGCGUUAAUCGGAAUUACUGGGCGUAAAGCGUGCGCAGGCGGUGCUGUAAGACAGGCGUGAAAUCCCCGGGCUUAACCUGGGAAUGGCGCUUGUGACUGCAGUGCUGGAGUGCGGCAGAGGGGGAUGGAAUUCCGCGUGUAGCAGUGAAAUGCGUAGAUAUGCGGAGGAACACCAAUGGCGAAGGCAGCCCCCUGGGUUAACACUGACACUCAUGCACGAAAGCGUGGGGAGCAAACAGG
rnacentral:rRNA from 1 species